rnacentral:snoRNA from 1 species
UCUCUAUGAUGAUCAAAGGUUCUCAAUAAUCAGUUCUGCUUCUGAUCUCCCUUGAAGAAAGCAUUACCAAGCUUACCAAUUCGUCUGAUCU